UAGAACUCUUGCAUUCAGUAGCAACAAGCGAUGAAGAUCCAUGUAACUAUAGGCUAAGUCAACCUCACCUCAAUUACUAGGAAGAUGCUGCACCCAAGAAGGAUAUGCACUUCAGGAAGGAAGUUCAGUGAAGGGGAUCAAAAUCAUUAAGGGACUGGACUGUAUUCUUUCAUACUAGAAGCAGCUGUGGGAAUUUUGGCACUGAUCAAGAGAAGGCUAAGGGAAUCUAAUCAGCCCAUGUGUUGAUUAAGCUGAAUACCUGAUGGAAAGCAGGAAAGAAUAUGGAAGCACACUCAUUUCAUUAGCAAAAGGCAUAAACUGCAACACAAGAAAUUCAAUCUGAAUACAAAAAAAAAUCCACUUUGUUACUGUGGGGCUGGUCAAACACUAGAACUGGUUGGCUAGGGAAGUGAUGGAAUCAUGCAGAUACUCAAAAAACUUUAUACAGCCCUGGGCAUCCUGCUUAUAUGAUAUCUAGAUGUCCUUGCCAACCUCAAAGAUUCUGUAAUUUUAUGUGAUUUUGAGGAUGAUGUGAGCUAGAGAUAUUUAGAUUUUAAAAUGGUGAGUAAAAGUAAGACAUUUACAAAACUACAGAGAUAAAAUUCCCUUAAUUCACAAAGAUCUAUUUACACAUAGAAUAGCUCAUAUUUCAAACUCAAGAACAGACAAAAACAAAUUUACACAGUCAAAUUAUAAACCCUUUAACUCUUCAUAAUGGAAGUACUAACAUAACCUUUACCAGAAUUCUGCAAAAACAUUGCUAUAAUCAAGAUAAAAUAUGAAAGGAAAUCAAAGGUGAAAGAAUUAUAUAUUUUAACAUAAAGAGAGAGAGAGCCCUGAUAAGUUAGAAUCUUCAGUGUUUUUGUCUAUGAUAGAAACCACAUGGCAGUAAACAAGCUUGCUCUAAGAUCUCAACCAUAAAAAUAGAGAAAUAAAACUGAAUCUAAAUGAA